GAUGAACGCUGGCGGCGUGCUUAACACAUGCAAGUCGAACGGAAAGGCCCAAGCUUGCUUGGGUACUCGAGUGGCGAACGGGUGAGUAACACGUGGGUGAUCUGCCCUGCACUUCGGGAUAAGCCUGGGAAACUGGGUCUAAUACCGGAUAGGACCACUUCUUGGAUGUUGUGGUGGAAAGUUUUUUCGGUGUGGGAUGAGCUCGCGGCCUAUCAGCUUGUUGGUGGGGUAAUGGCCUACCAAGGCGUCGACGGGUAGCCGGCCUGAGAGGGUGUACGGCCACAUUGGGACUGAGAUACGGCCCAGACUCCGACGGGAGGCAGCAGUGGGGAAUAUUGCACAAUGGGCGCAAGCCUGAUGCAGCGACGCCGCGGGGGGGAUGACGGCCUUCGGGUUGUAAACUCCUUUCGCUAGGGACGAAGCGUUUUGUGACGGUACCUGGAGAAGAAGCACCGGCUAACUACGUG
rnacentral:rRNA from 1 species